rnacentral:misc_RNA from 1 species
ACUUUGCGCGGGUAUCCUAAUCCUGUUUGCUCCCCACGCUUUCGUGCAUGAGCGUCAGUGUUAUCCCAGGAGGCUGCCUUCGCCAUCGGUGUUCCUCCGCAUAUCUACGCAUUUCACUGCUACACGCGGAAUUCCACCUCCCUCUGACACACUCUAGCUCGGUAGUUAAAUGCGGUUCAAAUUAGCUCUGGGAUUUCACAUCUUUCUUUCCGAACCGCCUGCGCUUUGCGCCCAGUAAUUCGAUUAACGCUUGCACCCUACGUAUUGCCGCGGCUGCUGGCUGUAGUUAGCCGGUGCUUAUUCUGCAGGUACCGUCAGUUGCACAGGUGUAUCCCGUGCCAUUUUCUUUCCUGCCAAGUGCUUUACAAGCGAAGGCCUUCAUCGCACACGCGGGAUGGCUGGAUCAGGGUUUCCCCAUUGUCCAAAAUUCCCCACUGCUGCGCCCCGUA